rnacentral:rRNA from 1 species
UACGGAGUGAGCGAGCAUUAUCCAUCCUAACUGGGUAUAAAGGGUGUGCAGGUUGAUAGUAUAUAAAAGACUAGUUAGAAAUUGCUAUUUUUUGGUAGGAGAUUCUAGUACCAACUAUCUUUGAGAAGCAAAGAGAUUGUUAGAAUAUAUAGUGUUCAAUUGUUCAGGAAACUGUCGAUCUUAUAGGGACUACCAAAGGCGAAGGCAUUCAAUCUAUUGCAUUCUGACGCUGAGUCACGAAAUCGUGGGUAGCAAAAGGG